AGCGUCCCGAGCGGUGGAGGCGCGUGCAGCUCGCGGCGGGACGGGCGGCGUGUGGGGCUCGGCGGCGACGGAACGGCAACGGCCGUGCAGACCGGCAGCCCCAGUUAGAAGUUCUGCAUGUGGGAGAGAGGUGCCCCAGUCUGAAGAUGCUCAACGAUGCUUCUGUACACGAGGCACUACUGAAAGAUGAAGUGGCUCUUUGAACAGUAAGGCAUAUAUAAUGCUUCCAUCACCGAGGGAAAGAACUCUGAGCUGGUUUUACAACAGCAGAACAUUGUCUGGCUGAAGCAUUAUGACAGAAAGGGAUAGUAAUACAGCUGUUAAAAGUUUGCUCUCUUCUGUACUCAAGGAAUCCAUCAAAGAACUCUUCUAGAAGAAGAGCCCAUAUGGGGAGUAAGACAGCAUGAUGUAUGAAUCCCAUCGCUGAAAUCAACUCUUGGAUUCAACAGUGCCAUUUGAACGGACAAAACCAUUAUUUUCUUUAGCCAUUCAAGCAAGGGAAACAUACUAACUCAAUUGCCAGCAUAGCUACCAGAAGGAAAUUGUGUAUGCUUUUUAGUAUUCAAGUCCUUGCUCUAUUGCCUUACUCAUAUGAAAUUCAGCAUCUCUUUUGAAAACAGCAAAACAAUGACUUUGUCUCCAUUUUAAUUUGGAAGGAGUCCAAAUUAAGCUAUUAUGAGAGAUAAAUGAUAUAAUGAGAGUUGCAUGCAAUUUACUGAAAAAAAAAAUGAACAAGCAAAAUGACCUCUCAAAUGUUUGCAUUUUUCUUUUUUGAACUUACUGAAAUUUUUAUGUUCUAGGUAGUGAAGUCAAGUUUCAUAUUCAGCUUUCCUGUUAAUGUUAACAUGUACAUGACAGGUUCCAACUAAGCAGAAAAAUAGGACAUUAGGAUGCCAACCUAGCGUUCCGUUAUUAUCAAGAAUAAAUGAACUCAACUUAAACAGAGUUUCUAUAUUAACUAUUUCCAGAAUACACUCCUAUGCAGAACACUGUCUCGUAGGAAUUUGACUGGCAAAUAUCAGAUAUUCUGGCACUGAAAAGAAAAUCUGAGAACCUUUGUUACUGAAGCUGUAGUGGUGAACAAAAAUAGACUGCAAGCACUGGUGGAAACAUGGGCUACAGGGCCCUGUGAUCACAAACCUUCUGAGCAGGAAAGUCUGCCCGCUUAUAGAAAAGGUCAUCUUCAGUUUUGCAGCUCCAGGCUUUUAAUCUUAAGUAAGCCAAUCAGAUCUGAAUUAAGUGAUGAACGUAUUAUGUUAAUGAGCAUAAUUAUGCUAAUGAACAUUCCUUCAAGGAAUCUUCAUUCUUGAUUCAUUAGUUAGAUGUUACCAUCUGAAACCAAUGGAAAAUGUUUUGAAAAACUCAAUUAACCCCUCUGGGGUAAUCUUAAGACCUUAACAGACUGUCUUCCAGUGCUACCUCUGUUAUUUAUUCCCAGAUUUGUCUGUAGUCAUCAUUUCACUCAGAGUCCUCUGCCUUUUUAAACUUAUUUUUCUUCUGACAGUUACUUCAACCCUGCCGGAAAAACAAAACAAAACAAAAAUCUAUAAUCAUGUUUUAUUACUGCACUGCAGGCUCUGCAAUCCAGAUCCCAACAGUAUCACCUUCUGAACAAGCAUGGGAAAAUGCUAAAACAGCAGAAAAGUUGUCAGAGCCUGCCUGCACUAUUGACUAACCAGAGACUAGCUUGGGACAGGCACUAUCCAGCCAGCAAAUAGGCAGCUUUCUGCAGUACACUGUGUACUUCUUAGGGAUGGCACUUACUGUUUGGUGCCAGUGUGCUCCCGUGUUACAUUCCUGGUCCCACACAAUUACAUGUGUAUCUAAGGUUGCACUUACACUCCCACCUGUUAAGGUAACACACAGGAAGUAUCAUGGUAAGCUAUUAACAGCACAUGUUUUUACAGGACAGUAGCCUAUUUGUUCAGAUGAAUUCAAGUCACUUAAAAGUUAUUCCAUCCAUGGCUGGUAUUAAUAGCAUCCACACGUGUAACAUUUAUAUCAGUGGACAUAAAUCAGCAUCAGUCUAUUAAAUUCAAAACCACAUCAUUUCGGCUCAGCAGCUGACACUACAGGCUUACAAAAGAAACACUUAACAUAUACUUUUCCAUGAUGAAACGUGAGAAUAUGUCUAUUGAUGGUUACGUGUUCUCUACAAGAAGCCUCUCUGAGCCUUAAGGUUUACUUUCCAUAAUCAGCAGCACCUCCCCAGUGGGUUUUUAAUAUGUUUUAUCAGCUUAGAGUUCCUGAACAUCACACUUGCAUGUGGAAAGGCCAGAGAAUUGCCAGCUCUCGAUCAGCUGCAGUGAAAGCACAGCUUUGUAGUCCCAAAGCCCUGACUAUACCUGGGAGUGCAUACAUGGUAUCUGAUUGAAGUUACAGGUGUUAUAAUUCUCCUCUUGCCAGUGGGUCAUUAUUUCACUCCAUCAAAAGAGAAAAAUAAAACAUGUGAAGAACUCUGCAGUGACCUGCUUAGUCCCACAGAGGUCACAGUAGAGACUGAUUUAUGAUGACUGACAACUGCCUAUGAUUAUGAAAAUUGCUAGCCAGGACAGCAUAUAUUACUGAUGCCUGCUGAAUAGGGCACAGAGAAAUCAUUUUCCCUUUUAGUAUUCCUAAAGGUUUACUGUUCUUAGCUUUAUUCAAAGAAACUUAAGACCCGAGGAAAACAAUGCUGCGUAUAUAAACAGGGCAAACAUUAUGCUGUUAUUUAAAAAUGUCAGCCUGAUACUUGAUGUAAGGUUCUGACUUAAUAUGUAAGGCAAAACAAAUGAGUUUGAAAAUCUCUGUUUAGUGGUUUAGAAAAUGGGAUCUGAGAUUGCUUUAAAGAAGGUCAUAAAGACCUCUCAACCUCUCCUUUUAUUUAUGUUUUCUCAAAUAUAUUGACUGGCUUGAUGGUGCACCACAGACAAAUAUCUACAUGCUUCACAUAAUGAAACAGUGUCAUUACCUUAUCUGGACAAACUCCCAGUGUAAUUGCAACCAAAGUAAAACAGCUCUGAGACUGCAAAGAAGUGUCAAAACAGGAAAUACAAUAGCACAGACCUGAGAUGUUUUCCAUUUGCAGACUUUCAUAUAGGUGUCUUUUUUCAUACUUUUAGCCCUAUAUUGGAAAGCAUAAUUUGAUGAUAGACGUGAAACUGUGUAUUAGUUUUUAUUUUGACAAAUUCAUUAGACAUCACAUAGCUUGAAAAAUGAACCAGGAGGCACUAAGUCAGCCUGAGAAGAUUGUACUUCAUAAACUGAAUUGCUCACAUGGGCAACAUUUUGGUGGAAGUUAUAGAUUUUCUAGCAUAUCCCUGAUAGAUAGCACUAAUAUAACUUCAAUAAAAACUCUGGAUAUGUCAAUAUAAAAUUUUUUCAAGCAUCGAAAGAUGUAAGAUACUUCAGCUAAUAAAUUGGAAGAUUCCCUGUUCCUCAAGGUACACUAACUUACACAUCAGAUUAUAAAGAGUAUUGAAGCCACACAGAGUACAGCAGGCAGCUGUAGGUUUGCUGCUUUUAGAAGUUGCACUAAAUUGAAUUAUCAAUAUAUGAAAGUAAUAAUUGGAAAUUAAGAUCUAGAUGACCCUUUUUGUAAAAAUGUUAGCAUUCUUCAAUUUUUAACUGUUAGAUGAUAGACAAUUUUUCAUAGCUGACAUGACUGAUAGACUGUAUUUGAUGCAAAUAAUUGAUGUUCCUUCUCUCUCUUCCUAACACAUGACCUUUCACUUACUUCCUUAUAUUGUUACCACUUCCAGAUUGAUACGGUAUUGGAAAUGCAAAUGGUUAUCCUUCUUCUGAAAAAACCUUACAGAACCUGAUGUAAGACUUCAUUGGUUACAACUGUAUGGGACAGGAUUGUGUGUAUGUAUAUAUAUAUUUACAUUUGUGGAUGUUUGCGCAUGCACACAAGCAUAAAUACACAGUGUUAGAAUUUCUUUAAGUUAUACAAUUAUUUCUGUAUCUUACAGUGUCCUACCACGCACAAAUUGUAACUGAAAGUAGCUGCAUGAUUAUUUGUACGCAUUCAACAACCAGUGACUGUAAAUAAAAAGAAGAUAUGGAAAUGCACUAACAUUUGAAUAAUGACAGCUUUUAAAAUAGAAAGAAGAUGACUUGGAAGAAAGUUACAGUUUCAAGUAGAAUGCUGGCAGGAAUUUGAGACACUGUUUGGACUUAGAAAAAUCUUCAACUUUUAGUACAAAAAUGUAUUGUGGACAAGACGAAAUCUAGAGUAUCUACCAUACUUUGCACACUAUUUGAUACUUUUGCAAGGCUUGAGAGAGACUUUCUGGCCAACAGUAACAAACAGAUCAUACAGAGUUUGCAGUUACAUAAUAUUUUCCAAAUACUACUGCACUAGAAACUAAAAAACCAUGUUCAAAUGUGUCAGAGGAAAUCAUUGUAAUGCUCUAUUAACACUACAGAGGCAAGCAUUCAAGUCAGGCAUCUGAACACCGUAUGAGCAGUAUGAUGAACGUGCAUAAUUGUAUGACCUGGGGUUAAGAAAAAGUACUCUUCUAAGGGCCCCAAACUCCACAAUAUACCUCAGUGAGAAAACUCUUCUCUUUGCUCGCUCCCAUAUUCUUGACUUGUAGAUUCUUAUAUUUUAAUUACAAGUAUGUAGAUAACUUAGAGUUUGUUGUUUGUUUGGUUUUUUUUUUUCUGUCACAGGCAAAUUUUCUGUACUUCUACGUGGUAUUUGCCUCUAUCUCAACAAAGUAACUAAGAAGUUUCUGUGAAUUAAGAGCAGAGACAAAUAUAUUACAUCUCUUUAACUGAUGAAAGCAGCAGAUUUUCACUGAUCUGCAGGCAGCUGUUCUGUGUUCAGUGGAGUCGGAUGCCCAUCAUUUUCAUUUUUAUAUGAAAAAUGUUUCUUGGAAAACUCAUUAUCCCUAUUCAGGAGCCUUAAUAUAAAAUGAAAUUGGUCAAAAGGAUCUGAACACCUAAUACACAGUUCUGUCAUUCCUGUAUGGAACUUCUGGCAUAAAAGAAAACUGAGAAGGAUCACUAUUAGCAGUGGCCAGCUUUAGCUAAGCACUUCAAAAUGCACAGAACUAGGCAGAGAAUAGAUGAAGCUUUAUGCUGGUCUGACUGCUAGGGAAAUGAAUUUAUGUCUUCAGUAGCAUUUCCUUAGAAGAAUGCAUUGUGACUCCCUGUACACUCUGUAACACAAAGGGAUGAAGAUUUCUUUUGUUUUUGAGUCUCUGGUUUGGUUGUUGGUCAAGUACAACAGAAGGGGAAGAGGGAGUUACAUCUACAUGGUUGAAUAAAUAAAAAGCACUGAUAAAUACCGGAGUAAGAUUUUCCCUUCUGUAAGAAAAUGCAGUUGUUUCCAUAAUAUAUUCAUUAAAUGUAGAAAUGUAAAGGGUGUGUUUUCUUUUAUGUAUUCCCAUUUGACAAAUAAAUAACUGAUUAAUAUCUGUACUGCAUAUUCUUCCAGAAUAAUUAUUUCCUUUUGGAUGAACUCAGAAAACAAGUCCGUGGAUGAUACUAUACCUGUUUCCAGACAAAUACUUGUGAGCAUUCCCAACCUGUUAAAAGGAAGCAAUUACGGUAGAGGACCAGACUGCAUGGAUGACCUGAACCUUGCUCACAACAGAUGAGAAAAAAUGACAUUUUUCUCCUUUCUGAAAGACUUUUAUAGCUUGUGAAAAGGAAACUUCAAGGAAGGUGGGGAGAUUGAAGGCUGGACUGGUACGUAUGGGAGGUACAGACUGGUAGGAAUGUGAGACCUUAAAAGUGCCAACAAUAGGACUCACUGUGUUAACACAAUUGAAAAGCCAAAAAUGUCAAAUUGAGAUGUGUUAGUACUAAUAAAUAUAUACAUGUAUGUAUUUACGUAUAUGCAUAAAUAUAUAUAUAUAAACCAUAUCACUCAUGUUGACAGAAAAAGUAGGCACUUGUAUGUGAGUGCGCAUGCACUGGCAAAACUGCAUCUGACAAAACAGGCACACGUUUUCUGGGGUACCUUUUAGUAGGCGAAAACUUCAUCUGUUACAUCAUGAAAGAAGUUGCCACCAAUUUAAAAUUUAAUCUCAAACUGAUGCAAAAAUAGUCCAGUUAAGACUUUAAGGGUGUUACUCAGAAAUUGCAUUUAUUGGGCUGACUUGCUAAAGCAAAGUGAAAAUAUUUCCUAGAUUUAAAAUCUAUACAAAUUAUUUUUGACAUUACAACAAUUAAAGAUUUGUGCAGAUGUAAAAAAGGAGUAAUUGCUGAACAUUUCAUGCAAUCCAUUUUCCAGCAAUUCCUACGAGGAAUGAUAUGUUCCUUGCUGAUUAUGGGCUGUGAGUAUGACCAGCCGGUUUCUUCAUUCUAAUUUCUCAUUGCUGUGUGUUUCUCUCACAAACCUUCACAUCUGCCUUAGUCUUGCUGCCCACUAGCAUAUGGUGCACUUGUGUCUAAAAGUUCUAGUUCAGAACAAGAAUAAAGAGUUUUUUUCCUUUGAUACAUUUUGUUCACCAGAACUGGAAGCUCUUCCUUUUCUAUUGUACUACACCUGUAAUGAUCUCAGAACAUAUCAAUUGUCUUAAAGUUUUUCCUUCUUGAUUUAGUUAUGUUGUGAUAUCUCUUAUCUCCUAUCCUAAUCACACUAAAAUUAUCUAAGAACAGUAUAUAAAAAAGGACAAUUUCAGUUUUCUUCUAUACUGAAAGUAUUUGUAGGUCUGCAUGAACAAGCCUUGUCAGUAUCCUCCAUGGACUGAUUUGCCAUACUAACGUAAGAAAGAGUCCAAGUAUCUUUACUUACACAGUUAGGUAAAUGGAAUUUGAUUUGAUUUGCAAAUUCAAUGCAAAAUGGAUAUAUCUGAAACUUAAUUCUACUUCUACCUACUUAGACCUAUAGGAAAAUAAGACUGAAUGUAUAAAUAGGGUUUUACCAGUAUGUUUUAAUGUCUGCUCAGUCACUCAUAAUAAUGAUCAACAUGUUGAUUCUGACUAAAUGAAGCUGAAAAUCAGAUUUUCCCAAUAUAUCACAUCAGCAUACACAUCUGCUGAUCAGUGUUAAUUAGUCCUGUAUUUUCCAAUUUGUAAUCUGUGGAUGUUUUAUGGGGAUGUAAAUAGUAACAUAUUAGCAUUUAUAAUCUUUCUUUGGAAAGCUUAUGCUGAGCAAGUGACCAAUAAAUUGCAGUUAACGUAAACAUUAAUCAAAUUGAAUGCCAGUAUGGAAAGAGUCUCAAGUUUAGAGGGAAAAAUCAACUUUCUGUCAUGUAUUUUAUUGCUGAAGUGUAAUUAAGUAAGAUCAUGACGAUCUCUGAAUAUUCAAUGACAAAUAGAUAUAUUUGUUUCAAGAUCUGUGUGCCAUCCUGAAGCGCUAAUCACUUGACCAUUAGAGUGAAUGGAUGCCACUCAAUCUACAAUGGUGAAUUAAAUUUCCAGUGGUUGGAUGAAAGAAUAAAAAGAGAGAGAGAAAAAAUGCAUAAAUGAGUAUGAAAUGUUGUAAUAUGAGAGGUUAGUAUAUAAAGCCACAAAGUGAUGAGUACUUCACAGAAAUGUAAUGACCUACAUUUGGCCUAAACAAGCUAUUGUAUGACCAUAAAUGUACCAUUAUUUUGAACAAAUGAAGAUUGCAGAUAUAGUAGGUAAACAACAAUAAAUAUAAAACACACAAUCUGUUGUCAUGAGCAAAGAAAGUAUUUAAAUAUCAGUGCUGCUCUGCACUGCAAUAACUUUAUAUAUAUAUUUUUUUUCCCUCCAGCAUUUAUCUUGCUCUUAUAUGAUAUGCUUUUCCUCAAAAACAAACAAACAAAAAAAAAAGCCACAAACUACUGAAAGAAGUGAAGCUAAAACAGAGUAUUUUUAUGGAUUUCCUAGAGUGCACAUAUACAACCUGGAAUGAACGUACAGAAGGAAUGUUUAUCUUUAAGUUUGGCCAGGAAAAUGAAGAAUUGGAGAAUGGCUCACAGAGAGCUCAGUUUGAACAAAGGAAUUUCUCAAAUAAGGUGCAAAUAUAGAUAGAAUAGAUUAUCUGAAAUAAGAAAAAGCAUUAAGUCAAAGUAUGCUAAAGAAAUUAGUGGACUUAAAAUUUGGUCAUCUAUGAACUUACAUAUAUUUAUUCUUUAACUAUAUCUAAUAAUGGUAUGAUGAUGAAGCGUAUGCAAAAAUCUACUCAGUUUGAAACACCCUCCUAAAGCUAACAAAUAUAAAUACUUUCAAUAGAAUGCUUCUAAUAAAUUAUUAGAGGAACACAGGGCAAAAAAUAGAAGCAAUCAUCCUGAGAAAACCUAGGUGACCUGAUGCUGUGCUAAAGGAGACAGCAAACUAAUUCUUGGAAUGAGAAGAGGCAGGAAGGGUUUCUAGACCAGGCAUGGUAGGAGCACUAAGUGUUGAGGGGAUGAACCCUGGUUCUCCACCACCAAGUGCUGACUACCAGAAAGGUAUUGCACAUUGACAGAACCCACAAAGUCAGUGUGCCAUAGCAUCCUGUCUUUGGAGAACAAAACUAAGAACAUGUAAAGGGCAGAAAUAACAGCUGAAUUUAAGCAGACUUGAAGCUGAAAGCAAUGUAACAGAAUUGAGGUCAUACAGAAAGGUGGAUUACAUAUUAGAGCCUGGAAGUCUCAUCCUACCAGGCCAAGCAGCAUUCAACAAAGAAGAAUGAGGAAUAGGAAUUUUGGGGUUUGUUUUUCAUCUUUUUCUUGUUUUCUUUCUAAAUAAAAUUGACAUAUCUAGAAAACUGAAAGCCAGGCAGACUGGGCAGCGAGAAAUAUUUUCCUGUGUUACAUUUAUUUUACUAAAAAGCACUGUUGCUCAGGCAGAUCCUGUACUACAAAAAUAUGCAAAGUUUUUGCAAAAACAAAGGUAUGUGGCAGCUCUUCUCACUAUAAUGAGUGAGGGAGGGACAUUCUGAGGAGAUGAAUGAAGUAUGGGUGCCUUCUGCAAAAAAAGAGCUGUUUCAUUCCUGAACUACUAUCUACUUUCUAAGUAGGUUGGUCUCCUGAUCAGAAUAAUCUUUUUAUUUUUAUUAUUUCUAUUUCCUUUUAAUCAUUUUUGUGAAGCCUAUUUUUACUAAUAUUUGUUCAGUUGCAGCAAUAACCACCAAAAGGUGGUUAUUAUCUUUUGAAUUAGUGUGAUGUUCUAUAAAGAAAGAGGAAACAUUUCUGUCUGCAGUAAAAACAGUAGAAACACAGGAGGUUUUAAACUGCUUUUUAGUACGAUAGCAAAGAUUUCAUGGGAAGGUAACUAUAAGCACCAUCAAGAACAGCUCUGACCUUAACACAUACCUCAAAGGACAAUUAGGUUUAGCUCUGGAGGGUUUUUAUCUUUAAACAUCUUGCUGAGUAAAAACUCUUCCUACAGUCAUCAGACUGUACUGACUUUGUUACAUGCCAAACACAGUAUUUGUGGCUGCAAUAGAGCACCAGAUAUUUAAUGUUCUUGCUGUUAUGGCAUAUGCAUAAUGCACAGCUUAUGCAACUUUCAUGGGUUUUUCUUUGCUGCACCCUUUAAUCUCUCUCAGAAGACCUUUGUGGUGUUAUUCUUUAUUUAUUUUACAUAGUGCUUGCACCCAUCAAGGAUAAACAAAAUAAAACUUCUGGAAGUUACCAGGCCAGUUAUCUAUUUGGAGACUUGGUUAACUUUGAGCACUAUAUACAAAACAUAUGCUACCAAUCAUGCAAGUCACAGACCUCUGAUGAGGUGAAACCACAAUUUUUCAUACGUAAGUAUGAUGAAAGAGGUAAGUUUCAACCAGCUAAAGUGCCCGUGAAUAAUAACUUUGUAACAAGAAAGAUUAGGCCUGACAUGCAAACAUCUUUUUGUAAAAAGAAACUUUUUGAUCAAGCUGUGAAUUUAAAUGCAAUAACUGAAAAAAAAAAAAAAAGAAAGAAAAAAAAAAGAUAAUAGAGGAAAAAUUUGUACAAGUUGCAAAGACCAUUCUCUCAAAAGGAGAAAAAGAUGAAAUGAAAUUGCCCUGUAUUCCCUGUUAACAAUUUUCUCUCCAACAUAUCUUAAGUUAACUAGCCUGAGGUAUAUCCUGUGGACACAGCAAUGACUGCAUGCACACCGUGUGCGCUCAAGAAUAGCAAGUAAGUAUGAAGUCGUGGAGUUAGUAAGGACUAGUAAGGACUUCACCACUAGGCCUGAAAAAAUGAAGAGAUCAUUGUGAUGUCCUUAAGGACCUCUCCUUAAGGACCUGACAGCCUGAGGCAGAUAGGAAGGACAUCACACUGAUGAGGUAGAAGUGUUUGUGAAAGCCCUAACAAUGUUUUUAUUUUUUUAUUUUUUAUUUUUAUUUUUUGCUUUUUACAGGAGAAACUAUAAGCUCAUUAAGAAAUGAUAAUCAUUCUGUUCCUCUCACAUAACAUGGAGAACUGUACAAGAUGGAAGAAUAUUAAGAGCUAUCACAGAGUACUAUACUCUAAUGAGGAAAGCUCAUGCUUCAAUUUCCUGAGUUUGACCUCUGAAAAGGCACUGAGCCUCUAGGAAUCAAGGUGUUUUUUUUUCUUUCCUUCUGUGUAUUGAGUUCUUCAUUUGUUCAAUGGGGCUAAUAUAACCUCUGUACCUUCUGAGAAUAGAAACGUUAAAGACUGACUCAGUUUUAUGGUAAUGGAAACCAUUUUGUAAGCAAGACCAAAAGAAUCUCCUCUGAAGACCAGUUACAGCCAGAAUGAGAUAGGUCUCUUUCAAAUAUAGCAAAAACUUUCCAAAACAGAGCAUAUAAUAAAUGCACUAGUUUCCUUUUUCUCUCAUUUUAAUCUGCAACAAUGAAAAAUAUUCACUGUGUUUCUUUUCACUACCAUUUCCUUUUUUUCCUUUGUUUUUCUUUAUUCCUUCCCACUCUCAUUCCAUUCCCUACUUUUAUAAUUCCUUUGCUAAUAAACAAAUAGUCCACUCAUCUAAUUCCUUGACUUCAGUGUGCUACAAACCAGCAUAAGGGCUGCAGAAUUUGAUGAAUGCAAGACAGAAUGGAAGCAGAAGAGAAAGUACGAUACGAGGAGGCGAACAGCUCUGGAGUACUGAGCUCAGCAGGCUAAAUACUACCGCCCUGAUAAGCAAUCUCCAAAGGUACGCGUGUACAAUGCCGACAACAGUCUGAAACUCUAUUGCUAUAUUUACAUUAAGGCACAGUAGAAGAUGGGGUGACAAAAGCAGCUGCUACUGAGGACUUGACAUUCACAGCACACAUGUUUCGGAAGGUUUAUCCUGGACUAUCUUUAGGCAGGUUCUGUGGAUGAGCAUUCAUUGCGUUUCAAAAAGGUCUGCGGCUUGAGGUUAAACAAAAUGGAAUCAAGCUCACGUGCUCUGGAAUUACACAUGGUGUGAAUCCAAGCAGAACAAUUAAAAACAUCCAGGAAAUGAGCUUUAAAGUCACCUUCUUUUCUCCAAAUCUAAAUACUGAUGUAAGUGCAUCCUAUGUCAUUUAAAAUUCUCUUGACUUCACAAGUAUUCCAUGUAAAUUUCCCAAUGAAUUUUUGGGAAAUGGACCUUAAUGAAAAUUGAUUUUUAAAUAAAAGUUAUGUUGUUCUUAUUGGAGAACACAGUGAUUUGUAAUGUAAUAGGAGGUUUUUAUGUUUUGUUCAGACUAUCUGGAUAGACAAGAAGAAUGUGCAUGUAGGAAACGUACAGUCUGCAACACCUAUAAAGGUUACAAAAGUGUACAAAAACAUCUCUUGAAAUUUAAAAUAUUGUUGAUGAAAGGAAUGCUUUUAAACUUUUUAGAGGAGCCACACAUGACAUUUUACCCUUUAAAGAUGGGAAGGUAACAAGAACUUUUCUUCCCCAAAAUGUGGAGCACGCUCAGGUGAAGCUGAAACUGAAUUUCCAGUUAGAUCUCUGCUGCAGCUUACAAAGCUACCUAAAUCGAAGUGACAGUCCAGCCAGGAACUGAGAAAUAUGUCACAACAAAUUCUUUUUAAAUAUAAAAUAAUUUCACAUGCUCUGCAGACCAUUACCAUUUUGUAAUUUUAAAGAGAGAUGAAGACAAUCCUUGCACAAGGACGUUUCAGGUGUUCUUUACCCAUAACCACUUUAGUGAUUACAACUUUUUUAUUCUAUUGCUAUGUUUGCUGAUUAUGUACUUCAUGUAAAACAUCUUAAGGAAAUCAUCCUUUACAUUGUAUGAUUUGCAUUCGUCAUUAUUUUUUACUAUGACUAGUAUAACUAUUAUACUAUGACUAUAACCUCUUAAUUCAUUCCAUGAAAGAUUUGAAAAAAAAAAAAAGAAAAGAAAUUAGACCUACUUUUUGGAUCAUUAAGUAGUGCAUAAUCUUCAAAUGGGACAUUAAAAACUGUAAUCAGUGACAUCACCAUGACAACCGAUUAAGAAUUGUCUAGAGAAGCCUCUGAAAAUGCAAUUUUUUAAUAUAAUACAUUUAAAUGAGUUCAUCAGAACAAAGCACUCUAAGUAGAUUUAUUAUGAAUUGAACAUCUAGAAAUAAUUUGGAUAUACAAUGAACACUGAAAUUUUUUCACUCUGACUUCAGGAGAUAGGGGGUGGCAUCAAAAUUCUUUCUUGACUUUGAUAGACUUAGCAGGGGAGGGAAUAUCAAAGAAAAAAUCAGUUGUCUUGCACUAACAGACUGGAUUUCAUUAACUGGUUUUGGGGCAUGCUUCUUCCUGUAUUAUUUAGUCUCCUAACGUGUAGCUACAGUUUACACCAGGUGAGGGCCUCUAAGAAUUAGGCAUUGCUUAAAUUCCCCUUACGCUUUAGCCUGAUGAUCUUACACGAAGCUAUGCCCACUGUCCAGCUCACUCUAAUGAGUGAAACUGGAAGCAGCAGAAACAUCAUUCUGUCACAUAUCAACAGUAAAAUAUAAAUAAAACAUCAUACAAUGUCUACUGCAGUAUAUUGUGUUACAUACCUAUAUAAAUGAUAUACUUAGUAGUUGAGGAAAAAAUACUCAUGGACUAAAGGCCAAUCAAAAUAAUAUUUUUAUCUGUAUCACAGAAGAUUAAAGAGAAAUACAUAUAUACAUUUUUUACAGAUAAUCUGUUUGAAAAGAUUAGCUAUACUUAACAAGAGUAAACUACCCAGCAUGCAUGAGCCCUGCUCAUCCUCAGAACAGCUAAAAGAAUGUAGGAAUUUCUUCCUCGUGUCUCCCAGUUUCCAAGUUGCCUCUCUAAGUUACAGCUUGUUCUUGUCUUUUACGGUUAUGUCUCCUUCUUCUGCCAGCUGUAUUUUUUAUGCCCUUUUCUAGAACAGAACUUGCACUAGUGACGUUGUUGCAAGCAGACUGCAUGUUUAGAACAAAGACUUUCCACAACGCUGCCUUGUGUAAGUGCUAUUGUUGCAGAAUGGGGAGGAGGUUUAAGUUUCCACAUAGUAGAAGCUCUCACUUAGAAUGAUACAGUGUUUUUUACUGCAAGAAGUUCACAACAGGGACAGUAUGUCAGUCACUGUAAUCUGCCACUGUUCUAUGUUGGCUGGGUCCGCAAUAUUUUAUAUCAGCUGCAAAUCUGCCUCUUAAAAGCAUGCUGGUCCAUCCUAAAGCACAAUGAAACUAGGAACGUUUUAGUCAAGGACUGCGUCUCAGACUGAAAUGACAGUCUGUCUUUGGCAUGCUCACCCUCCAAAAACUUUAACGCAGCUGCAGAAAAAUGUUCUUAAUGCCUUCAGAAAUCUGACUGAUUUGAAUUGGUAUCAAAACUAGAGGCAUUCCCAAAUCACCAAUCCCUUUUGAAAACCCAGGCUAUUAUACUUACAAAACACUGACUCUCCAUUAAACUCCUUGUUAUUCUUUUUCUAAUGAGACACUUUACCAGCCUGUCAUCACCCGCUGUGAUUAAUUCUCUACUUGUAAAAUUUUAGCUCUCUCUCUGCUGCUGCUGUUAAUGUGCUUUGUACCAAAUAAAAAUGAAGCUGAUGUUUACAAAUCCUGUCUGGAGGUUGCUUUAAAAAAGCCCUUCUUUGCCUUACAUUAAUGAGGCCAAGUACACCAAUUUUUGUUCAAAAUUAUUCUGGAUAAUUAAACACUGUAACAGACUACCAUGGAAGAUGUAAAACUCACUAUUGUUUAAAUGGCUCUAAAAUAUAAUAUCUUUCAAAAUAUAUGCCUACCUGUCCAUGGUCCACAUACAGACGAAUUCAGAUUUGAAGAUCGUAUGCAUUCUUCUCAUCUAAUGUUUGUGAAUCUAGGAAUAAGAAAAACCUUUUUGAAAAACAAAACAAAACAAAACAAAC
ensembl:lncRNA